CGAGUAGAGUGGCGAACUGGUGAGUAACAGGUGGGUAAUGUGCCCCUCGGUGUGGGAUAACCACAGGAAACUGUGGCUAAUACCGCAUAUGGCUCAAAAGACGCAGGUUUUUUGGGUUAAAGGCUUUGGUCGCUGAGGGAGCAGCCCGCCCCCGAUUAGCUUGUUGGUAGGGUAACGGCCUACCAAGGCUCCGAUCGGUAGGUGGCCUGAGAGGGUGGUCACUCACACUGGGACUGAGAUACGGCCCAGACUCCUACGGGGGGCAGCAGUCUAGAAGCUUCCACAAUGGACGAAAGUCUGAUGGAGCGACGCCGCGUGUGGGAUGACAGCCGUGAGGUUGUAAAACCACUGUCAGCAGGGAAGAAUGCCACGAUGGUGAAUCGGGGAGAGACGGUACCUGCAGAGGAAGCCCCGGCUAACUCCGUGCCAGCAGCCGCGGUAAUACGGAGGGGGCAAACGUUGUUCGGAUUUACUGGGCGUAAAGGGUGUCUAGGCGGUUCGGUCAGUCUGGUGUGAAAUAUCCUCGCUCAACGAGGGAAAACGCAUUGGAAACUUCCGAGCUCGAGAGUGGAAGAGGCAGGUGGAAUUCCUGGUGUAAGCGGUGGAAUGUGUAGAUAUCAGGAAGAACACUCGUGGCGAAAGGCGGCCUGCUGGUCCAUUUCUGACGCUGAAGCACGAAAAGCCAGGGGAGCGAACCGGGAUUAGAUUACCCCGGUAGUCCUGGCCGUAAACGUUGAACACUAGAUGUCGGGGGUAUCGACCCCCUUCGGUGUCGGAGCUAACGCGUUAAGUGUUCCGCCUGGGGAGUACGACCCGCAAGGGUUGAAACUUCAAAAGGAAAUUGACGGGGGGCCCGCAACAAGCAGGUGGAGGAAUGUUGGUUUUAAUUUCGACGCCAAACGNCGAAGAACCUUACCUGGGCUUAAACCGCAGGGUAAACCCCCUGAAAGGGGGGCUGCUUCGGCAAUCCUGUAGAGGUGUUGCAUGGCUGUCGUCAGCUCGUGUCGUGAGAUGUUGGGUUAAGUCCCGCAACGAGCGCAACCCUUGCUCCUAGUUACCAGCGCGUAAUGGCGGGGACUCUAAGAGGACUGCCCUCGCAAGGGGGAGGAAGGUGGGGAUGACGUCAAGUCCUCAUGGCCCUUAUGUCCAGGGCUACACACGUCCUACAAUGGCCGGUACAAAGGGCUGCGAACUCGCGAGAGUAAGCCAAUCCCAAAAAGCCGGUCCCAGUUCAGAUUGCAGUCUGCAACUCGACUGCAUGAAGGUGGAAUCGCUAGUAAUCGCGGAUCAGCAUGCCGCGGUGAAUACGUUCCCGGGCCUUGACACACCGCCCGUCACAUCACGAAAGU
rnacentral:rRNA from 1 species